rnacentral:rRNA from 1 species
CCUACGGGAGGCAGCAGUGGGGAAUAUUGCACAAUGGGGGAAACCCUGAUGCAGCGACGCCGCGUGGAGGAAGAAGGUCUUCGGAUUGUAAACUCCUGUUGUUGAGGAAGAUAAUGACGGUACUCAACAAGGAAGUGACGGCUAACUACGUGCCAGCAGCCGCGGUAAAACGUAGGUCACAAGCGUUGUCCGGAAUUACUGGGUGUAAAGGGAGCGCAGGCGGGAGAACAAGUUGGAAGUGAAAUCCAUGGGCUCAACCCAUGAACUGCUUUCAAAACUGUUUUUCUUGAGUAGUGCAGAGGUAGGCGGAAUUCCCGGUGUAGCGGUGGAAUGCGUAGAUAUCGGGAGGAACACCAGUGGCGAAGGCGGCCUACUGGGCACCAACUGACGCUGAGGCUCGAAAGUGUGGGUAGCAAACAGGAUUAGAUACCCUGGUAGUCCACACCGUAAACGAUGAUUACUAGGUGUUGGAGGAUUGACCCCUUCAGUGCCGCAGUUAACACAAUAAGUAAUCCACCUGGGGAGUACGACCGCAAGGUUGAAACUCAAAGGAAUUGACGGGGGCCCGCACAAGCAGUGGAGUAUGUGGUUUAAUUCGACGCAACGCGAAGAACCUUACCAAGUCUUGACAUCCUGCGACGAUGCUAGAAAUAGUAUUUUCCUUCGGGACGCAGAGACAGGUGGUGCAUGGUUGUCGUCAGCUCGUGUCGUGAGAUGUUGGGUUAAGUCCCGCAACGAGCGCAACCCUUAUCAUUAGUUGCUACGCAAGAGCACUCUAAUGAGACUGCCGUUGACAAAACGGAGGAAGGUGGGGAUGACGUCAAAUCAUCAUGCCCUUUAUGACUUGGGCUACACACGUACUACAAUGGCGUUAAACAAAGAGAAGCAAGACCGCGAGGUGGAGCAAAACUCAGAAACAACGUCCCAGUUCGGACUGCAGGCUGCAACUCGCCUGCACGAAGUCGGAAUUGCUAGUAAUCGUGGAUCAGCAUGCCACGGUGAAUACGUUCCCGGGCCUUGUACACACCGCCCGUCACACCAUGAGAGCCGGGGGGACCCGAAGUCGGUAGUCUAACCGCAAGGAGGACGCCGCCGAAGGUAAAACUGGUGAUUGGGGUGAAGUCGUAACAAGGUAGCCGUAGGAGAACCUGCGGCUG